CCUACGGGGAGCAGCAGUGAGGAAUAUUGGUCAAUGGACGCAAGUCUGAACCAGCCAUGCCGCGUGCAGGAAGACGGCUCUAUGAGUUGUAAACUGCUUUUGUACGAGGGUAAACGCAGAUACGUGUAUCUUUCUGAAAGUAUCGUACGAAUAAGGAUUGGCUAAAUCCGUGCCAGCAGACGCGGUAAUAAGGAGGAUUCCAGGGUUUACCGGAUUUAUUGGGUUUAAAGGGUGCGUAGGCGGGAGGAUAAGGUAGAGGUGAAAUCCCGGGGGUCAAAGUCCGAAUUGCCUUGGAUACUGGUCGGCUAGAGAGUAGUAGCGGUAGGCGGAAUGUAGGGUGUAGCGGUGAAAUGCUUAGAGAUCAUACAGAACACCGAUUGCGAAGGCAGCUUACCAAGCUACUUCUGACGUUGAGGCACGAAAGCGUGGGGAGCAAACAGGAUUAGAUACCCUUGUAGUC
rnacentral:rRNA from 1 species